CAACUUUAAUAAAUAAAUAAAAUAAGAAAAAUGUUGCACUCUUUCAUGCAGCAACCUACUUUGCCGGUAGAAUCUUUGUUUAAGAGAGAGAGAGAGAGAGAGAGAGAGAGAGGAGGAAGGGCCAUCGGAGUGCGCGCGGCAUGUUUGCGUAUAUGCCGAAGAGAGAAAAGGACAGCGGAAUGAUAUUUAAGUGCCCUCGGCGGCCCCGGCUGCCCUCCUCCGCCCCCGCACGGAUAGCAGAGCCUGCGGGUUUCCCUGCACAUGCCAUGGCCCCCACCCACUGGGGUACCCCGCAUG
rnacentral:lncRNA from 1 species